rnacentral:rRNA from 1 species
AGUGGACGCUGGCGGUAGGCCUAACACAUGCAAGUCGAACGGCAGCACAGUAAGAGCUUGCUCUUACGGGUGGCGAGUGGCGGACGGGUGAGGAAUACAUCGGAAUCUACUUUUUCGUGGGGGAUAACGUAGGGAAACUUACGCUAAUACCGCAUACGACCUACGGGUGAAAGCAGGGGAUCUUCGGACCUUGCGCGAUUGAAUGAGCCGAUGUCGGAUUAGCUAGUUGGCGGGGUAAAGGCCCACCAAGGCGACGAUCCGUAGCUGGUCUGAGAGGAUGAUCAGCCACACUGGAACUGAGACACGGUCCAGACUCCUACGGGAGGCAGCAGUGGGGAAUAUUGGACAAUGGGCGCAAGCCUGAUCCAGCCAUACCGCGUGGGUGAAGAAGGCCUUCGGGUUGUAAAGCCCUUUUGUUGGGAAAGAAAGGCAGCAGGUUAAUACCCCGCUGUUCUGACGGUACCCAAAGAAUAAGCACCGGCUAACUUCGUG